GUUUUUGGGUAAGGACUCCGGAAGCAUGCCCUGACUUUUCAGAGACAAACAGAUUGAAAGGCAACUGGUAGUUGGGAAGGCCCAAGGCAGGUGCUGAAACAAUAGCUCUCUUCAGACUGUGAAAACAAGCAAUAGCAUCUUCAGAGAGAGUAAAGGGCUCACUCCUGAGGGUGUCAUAGAGUGGCUGCAUUAGCUUUGAGGCUUCGGGUAUCCAUGAUCUGCAGUAUGUGAUGAGGCCUAGAAAGGCAUGAAGAGUCUGGUGAGCUGCAGGUAGUGGGAGUUGCAAGAUCGCUUGCACACGUUGUGAAGUCAAAUGUCU